GGUCGAGUGUCCGAGUGGUUUAAGGAGGGAACCUGCAAAGUUCUUAUUCGUGGGUUCAAAUCCCACCUCGACCU
rnacentral:tRNA from 1 species